rnacentral:rRNA from 1 species
UACGAAGGGGGCGAGCGUUGUUCGGAAUUACUGGGCGUAAAGGGCGCGUAGGCGGCCGAUCAAGUUAGAUGUGAAAGCCCUGGGCUUAGCCUGGGGACUGCAUUUGAUACUGAUUGGCUUGAAUUCGGGAGAGGAUAGCGGAAUUCCCAGUGUAGAGGUGAAAUUCGUGGAUAUUGGGAAGAACACCGGUGGCGAAGGCGGCUAUCUGGACCGACAUUGACGCUGAGGCGCGAAAGCGUGGGGAGCAAACAGG